rnacentral:tRNA from 1 species
AUUUAUAUAGUUUAAAAAAAACAUUACAUUUUCAUUGUGAAAUUAAGAUAAUUUAUAAAUU